GACGAACGCUGGCGGCGCGCCUAACACAUGCAAGUCGAACGAGCGAGAGAGAGCUUGCUUUCUCGAGCGAGUGGCGAACGGGUGAGUAACGCGUGAGGAACCUGCCUCAAAGAGGGGGACAACAGUUGGAAACGACUGCUAAUACCGCAUACGAUAUGCUUUCGGCAUCGACCAGAGGGAAAAGGAGCAAUCCGCUUUGAGAUGGCCUCGCGUCCGAUUAGCUAGUUGGUGAGGUAACGGCCCACCAAGGCGACGAUCGGUAGCCGGACUGAGAGGUUGAACGGCCACAUUGGGACUGAGACACGGCCCAG
rnacentral:rRNA from 1 species